rfam:Camelus ferus unplaced genomic scaffold scaffold1282, whole genome shotgun sequence.
GAGGGUGUAGCUCAAGCAGUAGAGCACUUGCUUAGCAAGCACGAGGUCCUGGGUUCAAUCCCCGGCACCUCCU